GCCAGACUCCUACGGGAGGCAGCAGUGGGGAAUAUUGCACAAUGGGGGGAACCCUGAUGCAGCGACGCCGCGUGGGUGAAGGAGCACCUCGGUGCGUAAAGCCCUAUCGGCAGGGAAGAAACAGACGGUACCUGACUAAGAAGCCCCGGCUAACUACGUGCCAGCAGCCGCGGUAAUACGUAGGGGGCAAGCGUUAUCCGGAUUCACUGGGUGUAAAGGGAGCGUAGACGGCGGCGCAAGUCUGGAGUGAAAGCCCGGGGGCCAACCCCGGGACUGCUCUGGAAACUGCGGCGCUGGAGUGCGGGAGGGGCAGGCGGAAUUCCUGGUGUAGCGGUGAAAUGCGUAGAUAUCAGGAGGAACACCGGCGGCGAAGGCGGACUGCUGGACCGUGACUGACGUUGAGGCUCGAGAGCGUGGGGAGCAAACAGGAUUAGAUACCCCAGUACAC
rnacentral:rRNA from 1 species